CCGCAGGGGCGGCCUGAGGCGGGCGGGGCGCGGCGCGGGCAGCUCCGCGAGCGGCCUGGCGGAGGUCUGAGGCGGGCGCGGCGCAGGCAGCAAGCGACACUGCGGCCGCGCUCAGGGUCGGGCGGCGGUGGCGGUGGCGGCGGCGGCGAUGCUGUGGCAGCGGCUGGCGGUGGUCGAGUGGGCGGUGCUAGUCUGGGAGUUGCUGGGCGCCUCGGUCCUGUUCAUCGCCCUGCGCUGGCUGGUCCGGCGGCUGGAGAAGCGGCCGCGGGCCGGGGACCGUUGCGGGACACCCUCCCCGCCGCCCGGCGCGGCUACGGCCGCCCAUCCAGGUAAAGUGACAAUGGAUGCUAUAUUGGCACGAUUGAAACUCCUGAAUCCAGAUGACCUUAGAGAAGAAAUUAUGAAAGCUGGAUUGAAAUGUGGACCUAUUACAUCAACCACAAGGUUUAUUUUUGAGAAGAAAUUGGCUCAGGCUUUACUAGAGCAAGGUGGCUCGCUGACUUCCUCUCUUCCCGACCACAGUGAGGCAACUGCCAAGGCAUUCAUCCAGGGUACCCCAAGGACUCCCACAUCUGUGGGAGGGAACUCAACUCAGCAGGCCAAUUUUUCUGAAGAUAGAGAUUUUGGUUAUAGUGUGGGCUUAAACCCUCCAGAAGAGGAAGCUGUAACAUCCAGGGACCACCUGGUGCCCUUCAAUACCUCUACUGGAAUUGACAACCACAAGGCUGAAGUGACAGCUGCUAAGGAGCCACUUCUGUACUAUGGAGUGUGUCCAGUAUAUGAGGAUGGUUCUGUGAGAAAUGAAAGGAUCCAUGUUUAUGAAGAUAAAAAGGAAGCAUUGCAAGCUGUCAAAAUGAUCAAAGGGUCCCGGUUUAAAGCUUUUCCAACAAGAGAAGAUGCUGAGAAAUUUGCUAGAGGAAUUUGUGAUUAUUUCCCUUCUCCCAACAAAACUAUGUUACCACUGUCUCCUGUGAAGGCAGCACCACUCUUUGGCAGUGGUGGGUUGAGAGAUGGUUCAUGCCUGUCUGAAUCAGAAACAGUAAACAAAGAACGAGCAAACAGUUAUAAAAACCCACGUACACAGGACCUCACUGCCAAGCUGCGGAAAGCUGUUGAGAAAGGGGAAGAAGAUACCUUUUCUGAACUUAUCUGGAGUAACCCCCGGUAUCUAAUUGGUUCUGGGGACAAUCCAACCAUUGUGCAAGAAGGAUGUAGGUACAAUGUCAUGCAUGUUGCUGCCAAAGAGAAUCAGGCUUCUAUAUGCCAGCUGACUUUAGAGACUCUGGAGAACCCUGAGUUUAUGCGUCUCAUGUACCCAGAUGAUAACAUGGACAUGCUGCAGAAGCGCAUCCUCUACAUUGUCGACCUAUAUCUGAACACUCCUGACAAAGGGGGCUAUGAUACACCAUUGCAUUUUGCAUGUAAAUUUGGGAAUGUGGAUGUGGUCAAUGUGCUUUCUUCACACCCUUUGAUUGUGAAAAACCCAAGGAAUAAAUAUGGUAAAACACCCAAAGAUGUCAUUUGUGAAAGAAGUAACAACAAAUCUGUGGAACUGAAAGAAAGGAUUAGAGAAUACUUAAUGGGUCACUACUAUGUGCCACUUCUGAGAGCGGAAGACACUUCUUCUCCUGUCAUUGGGGGGCUGUGGUCCUCAGAUCAGACAACUGAAGUCUCACAUGGUGACCUCUGUAGAAACAGCCCAAGAGAUCCUGUGUUGACACUGAGAGCCUUUGUGGGACCUCUGAGCCCAUCUAAGGCAGAAGAUUUUCGCAAACUCUGGAAAACUCCACCUCGAGAGAAAGCAGGCUUCUUCCACAGUGUCAGAAAGUCUGACCCAGAACGAGGCAUUGAGAGAGUGGGAAGGGAGCUAGCUCAUGAGCUGGGGUAUCCCUGGGUUGAAUACUGGGAAUUUCUGGGCUGUUUUGUUGAUCUGUCUUCCCAGGAAGGCCUGCAAAGACUAGAAGAAUACCUUGUCCUGCAGGAAACAGGCAAAAAGGUUCAACAAGAAAUAGGAGAAAAUGAAGCCUGCCUUGGAGAAAGAGCCUCAACCUUUGGCAGUAGGAAGAAGCACAGCAAUUCUAUCUCUGUUGGAGCAUUUCUAGAUGAAGAUGAUGACAUGAACAUGAGCUUAGAAGAAAUUAAAAACCGGCAGAAUACAGUCCAAAGUCAGAGUCAGCCCACAAUCAAUGAAUUCCAAAACUCUGAAUGUGGCACCUUUCCCUUGGGGCAGAAGGUGAACUGUGGAGAAGCCUCAAGCAGGCACUGUGCCCAUGACAGCAGAAAUGGGCUUUGUCAUCCUCUGAACCACAGGACCUCGGGUGGGAGGGAACUAGAAGCCUCCAAUGGAGAGGAGGCCUUUCCAUCACCUGUUUCUAGUUUGAUUCUUGAGUUUGAUAAACUGAAUUUGCAAAAGCAAGGUGGUAGCCUUUUCAAGACACCAAAUAAAAAUAAGAAAAUAGAAGAUAAGAAGAUAAUGACUUCAAGAAAGGAUGCAGUAGGAAGUGACUUCCUGGAACCUCCCCUUGCAACAGCCAGCCUUAGAGAUAAUCAAGUCAGGACUAACAAGGAAGUAUCAGCUGCAGUGGCUGAAAUGUCUUUGGGACGCAUUAACCCCCAGCUUACGGUUCAGGCUGGCCUAGAACCUGUGUCCUCCUCUGCCAUAGGAGACUCCACCAGGAGGCUCUUCCUUUCUGGAGAGGAGCCAUCAAAGCUAGAUCGGGAUGUUUUGGCAGCUCUCGAGUGGGCGCGUAUUGAUCCUGAUCGGUACCCAGCUGUCCACAGGUGGAAGAGCGCUGUCCUGUGCUACUCACCCUCAGACAGACAGAGUUGGCCAAGUCCUGCACUGAAAGGAAAGUUCACAUCUCAGCUGCUGGAUCUUAGCCUCCCACGUAGCAGCAGUCCAGGGCAAAGGAGUCCUGCUGGCAGCAGCCCCAGCAAACCUGGCUACACCACCUCCUCCCCUGGCCUGGGCAGCCCUGGGCGCUACAGUCCUGCACACGGAAGCCACCUCCGCAGGAUGGCACACAUGGCUCAGCUCACAGCUCUGUAGGGCCACCCAUUGCUCAUUCUUAGGGUUUGUUUCCUUUGUUUUUAAAAGAAAAAGAAUAAUAAUACUUGCUUAUUGGUAAAAUUCCAUGAAAAAAAAUGUAUUCUAAAUAACUUAAUUCUCACUUUGAGAGUACAGGACUUUUAGAAAAUACAAAUGUCCUGAGUAAAAGUCAAAUGUCUGAUAUUUUGAAAAAGUUAAUGAAGCCAGGCAUGGUGGUGCACGCCUUGAAUCCCAGCACUCAGGAGGCAGAGGCAGGUGGAUCUCUGGGAGUUCAAGGCCAGCCAGAGAUACAUAGUGAGACCCUGUCUGAAAAACAAGUUAAUGAAAGCAAACUCAGAGCAAGUUGUCUGAAGCUAGUGGCUAUAGCAAUGAUGCACUUUUCAGGUAGAGACUUCUAGUUUUGGAAUGGAGCAAAGAUGCAAAGGCAGUUGAUGGACAAGAGAGCUGUUGCUUUAGUUGAGGCUGGCUACCUGUAGUUGUUAGUAGCAACAUCUCUGCAGUACCUGCAUGCACAUCCGCUGUUUCCAAACAGGUGAAUUGUGUGUUGUCUCAGUCCUGGGGGAGCAGCUUUCUGGUAUGCAAUGGCAAAAUAUGUAUCACUCAAUCCUAGUUGUUUCAAUGGUAAGAAGGCAGGUGGCAGGAAGCAAAUAGGCCUCGACUAUCUCAGACUUUUCUAACAGUGCUCAAAAUACUAUCAGCAUAUAAAAAUACCUUUUGUAGGGGUUGGGGAUUUAGCUCAAUGGUAGAGCGCUUGCCUAGCAAGUGUAAGGCCCUGGGUUUGGUCCUCAG